rnacentral:rRNA from 1 species
ACGGGUGAGUAACGCGUAGGCAACCUGCCUCACGGAGAGGGACAGCCUCGGGAAACCGGGAUUAAGACCUCAUGUUGCGGUGUAUUCACAUGGAUAUACCGUGAAAGAUUUAUCGCCGUGAGAUGGGCCUGCGUCUGAUUAUGUUAGUUGGUGGGGUAACGGCCUACCAAGACUACGAUCAGUAGCCGACCUGAGAGGGUAAUCGGCCACAUUGGAACUGAGACACGGUCCAAACUCCUACGGGAGGCAGCAGUGGGGAAUAUUGCACAAUGGGGGAAACCCUGAUGCAGCAACGCCGCGUGAGCGAUGACGGUCCUAUGGAUUGUAAAGCUCUGAUCUGAGGGAAGAAACAAAUGACGGUACCUCAGGAGAAAGCCCCGGCUAACUACGUGCCAGCAGCCGCGGUAAUACGUAGGGGGCAAGCGUUAUCCGGAUUUAUUGGGCGUAAAGAGUGCGUAGGUGGCUGUCUAAGCGAGAGGUGAAAGGCAUCGGCUCAACCGGUGUAAGCCUUUCGAACUGGGCGGCUUGAGUGCAGGAGAGGAAAGCGGAACUCCUAGUGUAGCGGUGAAAUGCGUAGAUAUUAGGAAGAACACCGGCGGCGAAGGCGGCUUUCUGGACUGUAACUGACACUGAGGCACGAAAGCGUGGGGAGCAAACAGG